rnacentral:rRNA from 1 species
AGUGAACGCUGGCGGUAGGCCUAACACAUGCAAGUCGAACGGCAGCACAGUAAGAGCUUGCUCUUACGGGUGGCGAGUGGCGGACGGGUGAGGAAUACAUCGGAAUCUACUUUUUCGUGGGGGAUAACGUAGGGAAACUUACGCUAAUACCGCAUACGACCUACGGGUGAAAGCAGGGGAUCUUCGGACCUUGCGCGAUUGAAUGAGCCGAUGUCGGAUUAGCUAGUUGGCGGGGUAAAGGCCCACCAAGGCGACGAUCCGUAGCUGGUCUGAGAGGAUGAUCAGCCACACUGGAGCUGAGACACGGUCCAGACUCCUACGGGAGGCAGCAGUGGGGAAUAUUGGACGAUGGGCGCAAGCCUGAUCCAGCCAUACCGCGUGGGUGAAGAAGGCCUUCGGGUUGUAAAGCCCUUUUGUUGGGAAAGAAAAGCAGCAGGUUAAUACCCCGCUGUUCUGACGGUACCCAAAGAAUAAGCACCGGCUAACUUCGUG